UACAGAGGGUGCAAGCGUUGUUCGGAAUUAUUGGGCGUAAAGGGAGUGUAGGCGGCUUGUUAAGUCUUCUGUGAAAUCUGCGGGCUCAGCCUGCAAAGUGCAGAGGAAACUGGCGAGCUUGAGUGUCGGAGAGGAUAGGGGAAUACCCAGUGUAGAGGUGAAAUUCGUAGAGAUUGGGUGGAACACCAGUGGCGAAGGCGCCUAUCUGGCUGACAACUGACGCUGAGACUCGAAAGCAUGGGGAGCAAACAGG
rnacentral:rRNA from 1 species